GACGAACGCUGGCGGCGUGCUUAACACAUGCAAGUCGAACGGAAAGGCCCCAGCUUGCUGGGGUCCUCGAGUGGCGAACGGGUGAGUAACACGUGGGUGAUCUGCCCUGCACUCUGGGAUAAGCCUGGGAAACUGGGUCUAAUACCGGAUAGGACCGUGCUUUAGUGUGUGCGGUGGAAAGUUUUUCGGUGCAGGAUGAGCCCGCGGCCUAUCAGCUUGUUGGUGGGGUAAUGGCCUACCAAGGCGGCGACGGGUAGCCGGCCUGAGAGGGUGUACGGCCACAUUGGGACUGAGACACGGCCCAGACUCCUACGGGAGGCAGAAGUGGGGAAUAUUGCACAAUGGGCGCAAGCCUGAUGCAGCGACGCCGCGUGGGGGAUGACGGCCUUCGGGUUGUAAACCCCUUUCGGCAGGGACGAAGCUUUUGUGACGGUACCUGCAUAAGAAGCACCGGCUAACUACGUG
rnacentral:rRNA from 1 species